CCUUAUGACGAUCUUUCUUUCUCCAAGUUCUCAUAUUUUUCUCAAAUCUCUAACCCUAAAUCUUCUUAUUUCUUCUCCUUCUACAUGUUUGCUGAUUAUAUCGUGAUGUUGAUUCUGAACCGUUAAUGGUUGUUAACGAGGGUUACGAUCGUGAAAAUUUAUGAUGAUGUUGGUGACGCUGAAAGUCACAGCAAAUCGGUGAGAUCUUUCUUUGUUUUUCGUAUUUUAAUUCUAUAAUCUUUCUUCUUCUCUCAAUAUUUUCUGAAGGGUUUGUGUAAAAAAUGAGGAAGAUGAUGAUGAAAUAGGAUUUCAUGAACGUUAUUGUUGUAUCAGAUUUACUGAAUAUGAACUGCGUUCUUUUUCUUUCUUCUCAUUGUUUUUGGAAAAUUUGUAUAAAUGAGGAUGAUGAUGAUGGAAUUUUAGGGUUUUGGUUUUGUAUUCUGCGGCUGGGUAUGAACUGCGUUCUUUUUCUUUCUUCUCAUUCUUUUUAUAUUGACAAAUUUAGGAUUUUAUGUUACUGUUAGCAGGCCCGAGGAAAUUCUGUAUUGGGCUUUACUAAUGUUUCAUUCUGAUCUUGUGUGAAUCGUAAUCCCCUGGUACUGAACCGUAACUGUGAUGUUAUUGUUGAUUUACUACAGUGAAAAAUGUAACUCAGUUGUUAACUUAUUCUUUUUCUCUUUAUUAUGAACCCAAAGUUUAUUUGUGAUUUGUAGUAAAGAUUAGGCCUAUGAUUAUUCUAUGAAACAAAGCUUCUUUUGUGUAAUUUGUAAUGAAUAUUUGAAUCUUUGGAUGUAAUGAAUAUUUGGUUGGUUGUUGAUAUUUGGCAUACAGGAAAAUAGAGCAAAUGGAUGACUACAAGGUUUUAGCGACUAUUGGACCGUCCUCAUUAUCUAUUUUUUCGUUUGCUGGUGUUGGGCUGAUGGUGUUGAGCAUGAUCAUCGAGAACAAGGGUUGAAGGCUGCUUUCGUUCAAAAGUUGAUAUUAUCAACCAUAUUCGAGGAAAUAUGAUCAUAGAAUUUAAUUUAGUCGCGUAUUAUAUGGUGAUGAUAAUGGUGAAUCGAUUCCUUUCCAUUUUCAAGUGAUUUGAUGAACUUGCAGAUUAUUUGAAUCCAUUCCACGCACAUGAUGAGGGAAUCUUACAUGGCGGUUGAUUUGGUCGGGGCGGCGCCGAAAUAUUUGACUCAACUUGUGGUGACUUUGGAGCAGGAAUGAGUCUGGGCAAGGGCAGUAACCAUGGAUGAUGGUAUUCGCCGCCGAUGAGUCCACAAUAGGAAAGGUUACUGAUGUGUUCCAACAUGCAUCCUCGGUUGGUAUGUUAGUCUGUAGGACUUGGGCCUUCAAUGAUGGACAAUGGAGAGCCCUUAAGAAAUCUCCAUCUAUUUAUGAUCAAGAGGUGUUCAAGGCUCUGGAUUUUUUAGGAGUGAAGCAUAAUAUCUCAAGUGGGGUCGGUGAUCCCGUUGCAGAUCACAAGUGUUGGAAUAAACCUGAGUCAAUUACCGAGGAACGACCUCUCUUACAAGUGAGCACAUCCUCUCCCGGACCAGAUGUUGCAGGUGGAACUGCAGCAGCCAUGGCAUCAGAGUCUUUGGUUUUCAAAAAGACGAAUUCUACAUAUUUAAGCAAUCUCCUCAAGCAUGGCAUCAGAUACUAUUGUGCCGCUAUUUGGAGAAUAUAUUUGUCGAUUGUAUAGUUCCUAACUCUAACAGUAACCAUCCAACCUCGGAAACAAGGAUAUAAACAUUCAUACUGCAAAAAGGUGCUGGAUUGAUGGUGUUGAGCAGGAUCAUCGAGAACAAGGGUUGAAGGUUGUUUUUGUUCAAAAGUUGAUAUUAUCAACCAUAUUCGAGGAAAUAUGCUCAUAGAAUUUAAUUUAGUCGCCUAAGUCAUGGAUUAGUUACAGCUUCUUACAUAUUCAGAUAGUCUAUGUAUUGUGUUGCUGGUCCACAAGGCACUGGGUUUUAUUGCGGUGGUUCUGUUUAGGAUGUGAAGUCGUAUAAGCAAUAGUUAUAUUGAGGCCAAAUGUAUUUCAGGACUCUGUCAAUUUAAGUGUGAUUUUUCGGUAACUCCAUUGAAGAUUGCUUUAAAUCUACUUUACUACAGCUUAUUGAGAGCAUGGUAACAUUGAGAGAUUGCACAGCCUGCAAGUUGUACCAAGUAAGUAGCAUUUGAACUAUCAAUGAUUAAAUGUUUUUUGCAUCUCUUUCCAGGAACUCCAACUUCUGCUGCUACUUCUUUGAUAGGACCAGAUGGAAAUGUCAUCUUAUGUCGAGGUUUUGUUUUAGGUGUAAAUUCUAUAAUUGGUAACUGCAGUCAUGGAUUAAUACACAAGAAUUAAGUGUCAGUAUCAUAAAGAUAUCUUUAUAGGUACUUAGUAUAUCAUUCCAAUGGUAAUGUACCUGAGGUUUAGAAGUAUGUGAUCCCUGAUUUGCAGAAUUAAGGGUUACUUUUUAUAAUUAUUCUUUUCUGAUUCUCUUGGUGAACCUGUUAGGAAAUUCGGUUAGUCAUUUUCUCUAUCUUCAAGUUUCUGUUUAACCGUUAGUUAUGGACUAUGCAGCUUGGUUUUUGAAUCGGUUUCCUCUUGCAGAAUUUAUGUCGGUGAGUUUGUAUGCUUGUGUGCAGGAUUUCAGUUCGGUUUAAUGACGUUGAACCGGUUCACGUGUUCUGAUUAUGCAGGUCAGCUUAUUGAAGGGAGUUCAUUUCGGUUCAGAUUGAAUUUGAGGAAAUAGGAGAGUUAUUCUGUUAUAUUUUCCUGUCAAUUUUUGUUACAAAAGUUAGUCAUGAACCUGACUUUAGUGAAUAUAGGGACAAUAUUAGUGGUGUUAGUUUUGAGUUUUGGAAUUGGAAAUGCACAACAAGUACCUUCCUAUUUUAUAUUUGGAGAUUCUUUGGUUGAUAAUGGUAACAACUACCAGCUGACUUCUAUGACAAAAGCUAAUUAUGCUCCUUAUAGAAUUGACUUUCCUGGCGGACCAACAAGAAGAUUUUUUUAUGGCAAAACUUCUGUUGAUGUAAUUGGUGAGAUUCUGCUUUUUUAUUCUUUAAUAUAUAGUUCUAUGCUGCUUGCAAGUAAAUAGUUAUGUUGCGUUGAUUUUUGAAGUUCAUACAGUAACUCUUCUGAGAAGACCUUACAUUCUCCCAAAAAGUUAGAACCACGUGGUCAUAGAGACCAAGCUGCACUUAAAUUGCAGAAAGUUUACAAAAGUUUUCGAACCAGAAGACAACUUAUAGAACAAAGAUAGUUAGUUGAUUCGACUCAUUUUUUUGAAGAUUGCACCCUUCUAGAUUUAUUGACCUGGACGGAGAAAAAAUAUACCUCCUGUAUAGGUACAUCCGGACAAGACGGUGUUUUUCCGUCUUGGUGGAUAAAUCUAACGAGGGGCGGUUUUUAAGAAUCGUCUCCAUCAAACUAUAGCAUAAAGUGACAAUCAUGUUUAAGUUAUUAAACUGAAUACAUUCAUAUGGAACAUGUUGUGUUGCUUGCACUAAGAACGGUAGGAGCAGACUGCUCAACUUCUGAACUGUAUGAGCAGACUAUCAAGUAUCAGAAAGGCUCCUUAGUUAGUUGGAUCUUAAACCCUUUGACUUGGCUACAAAACUUAUAAACAAUGGUAUGUUGAAGUUGAUGCAUCCCUUAUCAAUUGGUGACUUCAGUAUAACAUGAUCAAUCAUAAUGGCAGUAAGAAGAAGCCUACAGAGUUGACGGGGCCUGGUAGCUUCUAUGUGCGCUCAAUGUCUUCUUGGAAUCAUUUUAUCAAUUUCCUAUGUGAAUUAGCAUUGGGCUGUGUUUUUGGUUUUCUUGUAGGUUGUACCAAACAUCACUUAUCCAAACAUUUGUAAUAAGCAGCUAAUUUUGGAGGCUUGAUGGCUUUAAACAUAUAUCUGCUGUCAUGAAGGCAAUUUGGUGAUGUAUUCCCGUGUUGGCUGGGUCUGAUUUUGUAGUUGUGUGGUUAGGCGGUUCGAUCGUCAAUAGCAGAUUAGAAACAGGAAUGCAUGAUUUUAAAGAAUUGUCCUUGGUUGGUAGAAAAGCUACAUGGAUGGCUUACUUGGAUGAUAGCGGUGGUGAAGCACUUGAACGAGUUUACGAACGAAUGGAAGCAUCAACUAUAGAAAAAACGUGUUGCUGCUGAAAUUUUAUUUGAUUUUGGUUUCAAGAAGCUCUUGCAGGCAAGGGAGGUUGCUGAAUUCUUGGUCUGCUUUUUUGCCUCUGUCAUGAAUGUUUGAUGUAUUAUAUUGAAUCUAAAGCUUUUGAUAUUGUGCACGACUUGCAGCAGGCGAAUUUUGUGAUAGUUACUGUAAAUAAUCUUAUCAAAAUGUGACUUUUGGUAAAUAUCAAAUAUAUAAAUAUGAAGAUACAUUUACAUAUGUUUCAUAUUAAGCAGAAAGAAACUAUAGAAAAAUUAAUAUUGGGUUAGAGAGGAAGAUAUGAAACAAACUAACAAAAGACAAGUUCCAUUGGAAUUGGAAGUGGGAGAAAGGAAAGAAAAAGAUAUGGAAAGGGUUUGGGUGAGCAUCAAAGUGAUUCAUCAUCCCAAAAUUGUUGAGUUGUUAGAAAGUUCAGCUAAAGAGUAUGAAUACAAGCAGCAAGGUGUUCUUAGAAUCAGAUAUGAUGUUGACAACUUUAAAGCCAUUAUAAAAGAGAGUGAUUGGCUGAUAGCAUCAAUUUGGAGAUAGUAAUUUUAAUUUCUUUCUAAAAAUUUCAUUCUUUAGGUUUCAUCUACUCUAAAAAUAAUAUUAUUGAAGAUAUUAUAGAUACUAAAUAUAAUUAUG